GAUGAAGAACGUAGCGAAAUGCGAUACGUAAUGUGAAUUGCAGAAUUCAGUGAAUCAUCGAAUCUUUGAACGCAUAUUGCGCUCUCUGGUAUUCCGGAGAGCACGCUUGUUUGAGUAUCAGUAAACACCUCAACUUCCAUAUCUUUUUUUGAAAUGGGAGUUGGACUUGAGUGAUCCCAACGCUUUUCCUCACCGAAAAGUGGCGGGUUACUUGAAAUGCAGGUGCAGCUGGACUUUUCUCUGAGCUAUAAGCAUAUCUAUUUAGUCUGCCUAAAAAACAGAUUAUUACCUUUGCUGCAGCUAUCAUAAAGGAGAUUAGUUCUUGUGCUGACUGAUGCAGGAUUCACAAAGACAGCUUCGGCCGACUUUGUAAACUCGAUCUCAAAUCAAGUAAGACUACCCGCUGAACUUAAGCAUAUCAAUAAGCGGAGGA
rnacentral:misc_RNA from 1 species